UCUGGAGCUUUAUGUGAUAUUCCUUAUUCAAUACUACACUUUCCCUCUUGAACUGCAAAAUCAAAGUCAGGAGCAACAUGCUUACAAAUAUGUCCUGAAUAAGGAAUAAAAACAAAUCAAAGACCCUGCAUUAGAACGGAUUCUAGCUAAAACAAUUAAAUAGUAGAUUACACAUCAAAUCCAUUUUUUAAUUAAAAAUAUACCAUAUUUAGAAUUAGUAGGCCGUUGUUUAUCUUAGCGUAAUAAUACACCUCCUGGUGUAUACCAAAUAUUAACAUCCCAAUUGAAAUGAGACAUCGUAAACCACAUACAUUUGCAGAUGCUAAUGAGAAUAAAUGCAGUAAGUAGUCCGUUUGUUAGGUGUGAGACAAUGCAUCUUCUUGUGUUUUCUGAAAGGUGGCUCGAAUGAUGCUUCCAUGGAAUUUUACCUUCCACCAGUGACGUAAUAUUUUUUUCGACGGGCGGUGAUGUAAAUUUGCCGUCUCUGUUGUUAGUUUAGAUUAUGGUGGUGCGAUCUCAGCAACUGCAGUAAUUAGGCCAACAACAUCUAUAAAUUCACAUAAAAAUACUAAUUCAGUUCAUGUUUCUACACGUUGCUAUAGUGUUCUUAUUAUUCAUGAAUAUGCACAGCACUCUGUGUUUUGCUCACCUCACAACAUAGUGUUUUGCUCCAUUCCACUGCCAGCAGUGAGGAGUAGAAUGCACUGUAGCAAACAUGAAAAGGUUUUCUGGCCGGGGUGUUACCUCUAUCGAUGUACUCUGAAGCAGAUCCUCUGUGAGAAUGAUCUACUGAUCUGUAGGUUCUCUUGGCAUCAUAAAGAUCAAAUUGCUCGACUGUGUGAGAGCUUUCUCAGUAUACAAAGAACUGACAAUUGCUCUGCUAAACUCUGCCUUUCAAUUAUUGUCCAGAAAA
rnacentral:lncRNA from 1 species